AUAUUAUAUGAGCCGUUUAUUUUGAAAGUGACCUAACUCCGUUUUUCAAUUUUUUACCGGUUACCAUGGUUACAAGUACAACUUCAGGUUAUUUAUCAGUGACGCAUUUCAGAUUGCUUAUAUUCAGAGAAAAUACGGUACAUUUUUUACACAUAAGUUUUCCGAAUUAAUUGAAUAACUAAGACGUGUAGUUUGAAAGUGGCCUAACUCCAUUUAUAGUUACAUCAGGAUAUUUACUAUUGAUAAUGUCGGAAAGCAGCGAUGAAGGUAAUUUCAAUUAAUUAGUAUUUACAAGUUCACCUCAUUUUUGGGACAAUUGCGUUAGUUAAUUAACCUGUACGUUUAAUUAAUAUAAAACUUAAAAUUUAAUAUUAAAUUAUAGAAAUUAUUGCACCCAUGAGGAAGAACUGGAGAAGACCACUUAGUUCAGAUAGUGAAGAAGAAAUAAGGAUGAAGAUUCAAAUAACAAUGGAGAAAAGAUAGAUGCACCAUAUAUCCAAAAAGUGCGAAAGAUUAAACGGAAUUCAGGAAAAA